rnacentral:rRNA from 1 species
GACGUAGGAGGCGAGCGUUGUCCGGAUUCAUUGGGCGUAAAGAGCACGCAGGCGGUUUGGCAAGUCGGACGUGAAAAUCCGGGGCUCAACCCCGGACCUGCAUCCGAAACUGCCCGACUAGAGGUAGGUAGGGGAGAUCGGAAUUCCUGGUGUAGCGGUGAAAUGCGCAGAUAUCAGGAGGAACACCGGUGGCGAAGGCGGAUCUCUGGGCCAUUACUGACGCUGAGGAGCGAAAGCGUGGGGAGCGAACAGG